UUAAUUACCAUUUACAUAGGGUAUUUCUCCCGGUUACGAGCACCCCCCCUGUUACGAGCCCCUAACGGAAAUAAUUUGUAAUAUCGAAUAAAAGGCAUUACUAUUAUGAUGCUAAUUCUAAUUCAUUCAAUUAAUUGAACAUUAAACAUUUAUUUGGCUCAAAUACAAAGCUAUAAAACAGUUUUUAUUAAUUACAGCAACUGAUUCUCCAAACACACUUUGCAAAGAAAUUUUUUUUCAAUCAAAUGUCAAAAAUUUCUUAAGAAAUCGGUGCAGUUACGAGCACCCUGUUACGAGCCCUUUCUUGUUUACAUGGUAACGUGAAUUUUUCUUUCGCUUUUUUAGUUAAAUUAAUCGAAAAUACGUUAAUUAUCAUCGUAACUACUAAAAAACAAU